rnacentral:rRNA from 1 species
GACGAACGCUGGCGGCGUGCUUAACACAUGCAAGUCGAACGAUGAAGCUAGAGCUUGCUCUGGUGAAUUAGUGGCGAACGGGUGAGUAACACGUGAGUAACCUGCCCCGAACUCUGGGAUAACUGCUGGAAACGGUAGCUAAUACUGGAUACGACCUACGAAGGCAUCUUCUUGAGGUAGAAAGAAUUUCGGUUCGGGAUGGACUGGCGGCCUAUCAGCUUGUUGGUGAGGUAAUGGCGCACCAAGGCGACGACGGGGAGCCGGACGGAGAGGGUGACCGGCCACACUGGGACUGAGACACGGCCCAGACUCCUACGGGAGGCAGCAGUGGGGAAUAUUGCACAAUGGGCGCAAGCCUGAUGCAGCAACGCCGCGUGAGGGAUGACGGCCUUCGGGUUGUAAACCUCUUUUAGUAGGGAAGAAGCGAAAGUGACGGUACCUGCAGAAAAAGCACCGGCUAACUACGUGCCAGCCGCCGCCGUAA